GGGACCCUGGGAGCAGAGGAGACCCCUCGCCCACGCUGGCCAAAGGAGGCUUACCUGGAAAAAGAUGUAGGGCCUGCUCCAAGCCAGCAGCUCCCGGCUUCCUCCCCAAAAUGCAGGCCUUCCAGCCAACAGCCUGAGGUCAUGGAUGGUGUCGCAGCCAGUCCAUCCAGCAUGUCACAAGCCAAACUGUGCUCAGCCUGGACCUGUGAGCGGGCUGUGGGACCUCCUCUGCAGAGAACAGCUUCUUGGAGGCACCUGAAGGCACUGGGGCUGGGGUGUGGCAGGUGUGCAAACACCUCUCCCUGGCACAACAUACUGAGGCUGUGAUCACAGGAAGGCCUGGCCCAGGCCACCAAGACAGCACCGCAGGGUCCAUCCAUGCUCCCCAAAAGUGAACUUCUGGGAUGAUCCUGGGGCCCCGAUUUUCCACUGCCCCAGCAGACGCAGGUAUCGAAGGCAGUGGAUCAGGAGAGAGUGGACCUGGGGAAGCCGAUCUGGAGCCACUGUGAUGGUCCAGGAGAGAAACUGCAGUGCCUGGAAGGAAGAGGAGGCAGUGAGAAUAGAGGGAUGUUCGGAAAGUGGAAUGUACAGAACUAUACAACUAAGUCACUAUGGGGUGCAAGAGAAGAUUCUAGAAUGACUUCAAGGUUUCUGCCUCAGGCAAGAAUGGGAUGGUGGUACCAUCCAUGAAAUGAAAACAGAGGGCAUGGGGAACAGAUGUGGACCCCAGCUGCCUUAGGUCCUUGGUUUUUUUCGUUGUUAUCAUCGUUAUUGUAGCUAACAAUCAGGAGCACACUGUAGCCAAGCAAGUGCUAAGUCGUUUACCUGCAGGCUGUGGUGGCUGCAGGGCUGCCAGUCCCUGUGCGGACAGCCCAGUCGGGCUUGGUGGCUGUAGCCUUUGGGGUGUCUGUCCAGAGCAUCCUCCUUGCAGGUUUACCUGCUUUCUGCAGUGGUACUCUCACAAUUCUCGCCUCCCUUGAGGAGAGGAUUAUUAUCCCUGUUCUGCAGAUCGGGCUACUGAGUCUCGAGAAAGCUCAAUAAUUUGCUUACACUUACAGAGUGGCAAAUGAAGGAGCCAGGAUGCCAGGCCAGGCCUGGCUGACGCCAAAGCCCCCUCUUGUAACAGCAGCUCUGCAGGCAGUGGCCCCUUUCUGGGGGUGUGAGGCUCUGUGGGGCUGCCCUGGCCUUACAUCCAGGGCUACUUUUUGGAGUUUCUGCCUCCAUUCCCUGCUUCAUGCUCACAGGUGUAGCUUGCUCUUCUUCAUCAUGGCUCUGGAUUCCUCCAGUGCCUGCUGGUAGCGGUGGGUGGUAGGGAUCCAGAGCUGGGGCCACAGCCUGACCUGUGGACAGUGGUCUCAUUUCUCACACACAUCAGAGCCAAGAGCUGUACCCUCCGAGGCCUCCUCUGCCCCUCCAUGACCUGCCCUUCCACUCUGAGCUACACGGCUGGGACAGAGGUCAAGGACUUCAUGGGGUUUGCAGAGGCUGGGUUGGGGAGUGGGCUUUGGUGGAGUGGAGUGGAGUGGAGAGGAGAAGCAAGGCAGGCAGGGGGCGCCACGGAGCCCUCCAGGGUGGCAGAUGAGCUUGUGAGGUUGUACCUGCUGAGCUCCCCUGAGCAACCAAGCACUGGAAAAUCAAUAUCGUUUUCCACUUUCUGUGCUGGGCGACUCAUUUUCAUUAUGUCUCACGCUUCCUCUGUGCUGCUGGGGACUGAGACGGUUCUCUGGCCAUGGUCCCAGCCCUAAUCUCUGUACAGGAUGACAAGCUUGGUGAGCACAUGGCUCUAGGACCCAUGGUCUGUUUCACACUGCCUCAGAACCUGGGGGCCAUCCCCAGGCCUGCCACCCUUAGCUCCACCCCUGCCCUUCUUAAACACACACACACACACACACACACACACACACACACACACUCCACCCUAACUCAUCACCCACAUUUUUCAGAGGGUGGAAUAUGUGACCAUUGAAGCACCAACACUUCAUCAUUUUAACCCUUAUGGAUGAAAAUCUUGCCCAAAUGUUCUCAAAUCUCCCCUGACAUUAAAAAAAAUAAAACCUGUAUCUUUAUCUCUUUUUAUUAAAAUAAUAAAUAUCUGUUAUAUACAAAGUUUGGCAACUAUAGGCCAUUAGGAGGAAAAAUUAUUUCAUGCAGGAGU